GUGGGGUAAAGGCCUACCAAGGCGAUGACGGGUAGCGGGUCUGAGAGGAUGAUCCGUCACACUGGGACUGAGACACUGCCCAGACUCCUACGGGAGGCUGCAGUCGAGAAUCUUCCACAAUGGGCGAAAGCCUGAUGGAGCGACGCUGCGUGCAGGAUGAAGGCCUUAGGGUUGUAAACUGCUGUCACGCUAUAGGAAACCGCAGGGGUUAAUAGCUCUUGCGCUGACCAAAGCGAGAGGAAGUGCCGGCUAACUCCGUGCCAGCAGCCGCGGUAAGACGGAGGGCGCAAGCGUUGUUCGGAAUCACUGGGCAUAAAGAGCACGUAGGCUGUCAGUUAAGUCGGAUGUGAAAGCCCUCGGCCCAACCGGGGAACUGCAUUCGAUACUGCCUGACUCGAGGACAGGAGGGGGUGAGCGGAACUCCAGGUGGAACGGUGAAAUGUGUAGAUAUCUGGAGGAACACCGGUGGCGAAAGCGGCUCACUGGCCUGUCUCUGACGCUGAGGUGCGAAAGCUAGGGGAGCGAACGGGAUUAGAUACCCCGGUAGUCCUAGCCGUAAACGAUGGGCACUAGGCAGCGGACCUUCCUAUGGGGUUCUCUGCCGUAGCUAAUGUGUUAAGUG
rnacentral:rRNA from 1 species